GCCUGCAGGCGUGCGGCGUGCGGCGUAGGUCGUGCGGCCCGCGGCUGUUCCCGGCGCGGAUACUUACUGCAUGGCGGGGCGUGCAGGUCGCAGCGAUGCCGGUGCGCAGGCCCCGGCGGCUGCAGAGUGGGGCCAACUCUGCCGGCCGCGGGACCCGGGUGAGGGUCUGGGCCUGGGCUGGGCUGGGGGACGCCAAGAGGCCGGCUAGUGCGCGGCGCCCGAGAGUCCACAUGCUGCUUCGGGUCUGCCGCCGGCUCCGCCCUCCAGCGCGGGGUGCUGCGGCGACCCCUGGUGGCCACUGGCCGUAGGCACUCUUCUGUGGGGAAACAGCUGGAGGUUGGACCUCAGGAAGAACUUCCUAGCUUAGCACUAUUCGUGCAUUUAACAAAAAUGGAGAGCCUGCUUUGUGCAAAGCACGGACUGCAACCAGGACCCCUGACCCCAGGGAGACUGCAGCCUGGUGGCCCGCCGCUUCCAGAAUUCUAAACAGGAGGAACUUGGGAGUUGCUGUCUUGCUGACCCUGCACUCAGUAGAUCAGCUGGCACCACCCAGACCAAUCAACUGGCUCAUCUGAUCUUAUGGCCUCCCUAGCAGGAACUGACUCAGCACAAGAGGACACCUUUGAUUCCCUAUGAUUUCAUCUCCGACCUGACCAAUCAGCACUCCCGACUCACUGGCCUGUACCCACCAAAUUAUCCUUAAAUACUCUGAUCCCCGAUUCUUAGGGAGACUGAUUUGAGUACUAAUAAAACUCUAGUUUCCCAUA